GAUGAAGAACGUAGCGAAAUGCGAUAAGUAGUGUGAAUUGCAGAAUUCAGUGAAUCAUCGAAUCUUUGAACGCACAUUGCGCCCUUUGGUAUUCCUUAGGGCAUGCCUGUUCGAGCGUCAUUUAAACCUUCAAGCUCAGCUUGGUGUUGGGUGACUGUCCGCUUCACCGCGGACUCGCCUCAAAAUUAUUGGCGGCCGGUACAUUGGCUCUCGAGCGCAGCAGAAACGCGUAACUCGAGGUCCUCGUGCUGGCUCCCAGAAGCUAUCUUCACAAUUUUGACCUCGGAUCAGGUAGGGAUACCCGCUGAACUUAUGCAUAUCAAUAAGCGGAGGA
rnacentral:misc_RNA from 1 species